CUUUGUUUAUUUGAGAGUUACUGGGGAGAAACUAAUUAUUAAAUCAUUUUGCAUUCAUCUUUCCCUCUGAGUGUAGCCAGCUUUCUUCAUUUCCAAAUUUAUUCAUUUGUCUCUUCCUGCUUUCUUAGUGAUUUUCCAGCUCUUACAUUCAAAUUCCUUAUAUGAAGGGUCCUUAUAAUGAUCCUCAUAAAUGUUCAGAGUUCUUGAGAGUCAGAAGGAUUUCUCUCUUUCCCAAGCUACAAACUGGAAUGAAUUCUAUUAAGGACUUGCACUGCUUGUAUUGCAGCUAUUAACGCCUAUUAGCUGCUAGACAGGCAUACAUUGGUCUUCUUGUCAGUAUACAGACAUGACAUUGGAUUUCCCUUCAUUGAUCUGAAGUCCCGCAACUGCCGUUUCUUUCUUGAUACUGUGUUUUCUAUGUCUCUUUAAAUAUCGGAUGCAGAUCAUUUCCAUUUGCCAUAUUCCAAGGGUUAUUAUCCCCGAGGAUUACGUCUUUUCAACAACCAGAUACAGGAGUAUAGAGUUUUAAGUGCGUAUCUCUGGUUUAGCCUGACUCAGUUUGAAAUUUUACUCCCAACAACAUUUUCAUAUCAUUUUCAUAUCCUCUUUUUAAAACCCCAGGUACAUAGUUAAACCACCCUAACUUGUUUGACGGAGAUUUGAAACAGAUCUCUGAAACAGAGUGGCGGGGUCCAGAGCAGCCCCCUGGGAGGGAGGGGAAGGUUGGUCCUUCCCUGGGUAGCAUUAGGAUGUGCUCAGGGACAAAAGGACCUCAUAGUUGUCCUGAGCAAAGUGCUGGUGCUGUGAGGGAGCAGGAGAUAAAGAAAACAUGGGACAUAAAGAUAGAGGGACCAUUGCCAAGUUGGCAGUUUGGAUAUACAGAUAUCUUGCUUAGAGUAAGAGUGGAAGAGCGUUUGCCCUGUGGAUGUGAUCCACACAUCAAUACCAAUUGUCUUUAGGGCUGGGAGUGGUCCACGCCUGCCCUAUUCACUGCCCCAGGUUUUGCCUGUCUCACUGAUGACAGAAAGAGAAAAUGUCUUUAUUUGGGCAGAGUUUGCUGCAAUUCAGCAGCAAAUGACUCAAUCGACUUAAACAAACAGACAAACUGGAAACAGGGGCCGGCUAUGCAGACAUAAUGGAUAAGGAGGUGAAAAGAGGGCAGUGAAGAGCCGGUAUGUGUGUCAGCUGAACCUGUGGGAUUUGGCGUUCUCUGUACAGGAAGACAGUGCUAGGUAUGUUUACACCUCAUAGCAGCAAUGCACAUCAUAAACGCAGUCAUCUCGUCUGUAUCCAUACCACUUAAAAAUGCACAGACACCACUACCUGACCAAAAC
ensembl:lncRNA